rnacentral:tRNA from 1 species
GGUUCCAUAGUGUAGCGGUGAGCACUUCUGCUUUACACACAGAAGGUCCUGGGCUCGCACUCCAGUGGAGCUG